UACGAAGGGGGCUAGCGUUGCUCGGAAUCACUGGGCGUAAAGGGUGCGUAGGCGGGUCUUUAAGUCGGGGGUGAAAGCCCUCAGCUCAACUGAGGAAGUGCGCCCGAAACUGCAGAGCUUGAGUACCGGAGAGGAUGGCGGAAUUCCCCAAGUAGAGGUGAAAUUCGUAGAUAUGGGGAGGAACACCGGUGGCGAAGGCGGCCAUCUGGACGGAUACUGACGCUGAGACGCGAAAGCGUGGGGAGCAAACAGG
rnacentral:rRNA from 1 species